UUCCGGUGUGGGUUGGUAUGCUUCCGGUCUCGCUGCGCUAGUGAUUGACAAAGCAGCUACACUAUGGCUUUAUUUUAUUCAAGAUGCUUGCAGGAUUUGCCUUCAAUAUCGAUAAGUGACGUUCAUCGACUGGUCCAGACGGGGAGCUCUGCCCCCAGAAGCAAGAGCCAGAAGGGAUUUAAGAUGUAUCUGUCAAGUUACAUAGACAAUUAUGAAGGUAAGUUUAAACAACAACACUACGGUAGCCAAGCUAUAUCGACUAGCUAGCUGUAGUUAUUUACCAUUUAGCAGGGUCCUCGUUCGUCUGUACAGUGUUUGAAAUGUGUACGAUUACUGUUUAGUAACAUAAAUUAUGUCUAAUAACAUGAAUUAUGUCCUACAGGAUGAGUGAAAAGCCACACAAGCUCAGAGUAGGGAGAAACAAAACAUGUAUAACAUAAUGGUUCAAGUUUUGGGUUGUUAAUGUGUCUCGAGCUGGUGAUGUGGAUGCAGAAUAGAAAAUAAGUCUAGUUUGCUGACAUAAACCUUAACAUAGCUUUCAUUGACACCCCAGAAACUGUUCCUGUUCCUUAGAGUAUAAGUAUAUACGUUUAAGCAAAUCCAUGGUCGGGUACAUAAGUCAGUGUUAGGUAAGUGCUGAAUGUAUGCCCGGAAUCUUGGAUAGUCUUACCUGUUCAACGUUCAACUUACACUGCUCUGACUCUAUUAUGAUUCCUGAACUUCAUUUAAGAGGUAAGUGUAGCAUACGUGUAGGUGUUAUACGUUUAAGCCCAGGGGUGGCCAAACUUGCUCUUAUAUUAAUCCAUGCACAUUCAUUAGAUAACUCUGGAGUACCAUAGAGAACAGGGUUUUUCACAACUACUGUUACACUUUUAACUGGUCUUGUAAUGGUCCUGGACAGUGUGUAUUUUUCUGUAUGGGACCUGCAAGCAGAAACAGUUUGGCCAUCCCUGUUUAAGCCUAUCCAUGGUCAGGUACAUGAGUCAGUGUGAUGUAAGAGCUGAUAGUGUACCCUGAAUCUAGGCUUGUUCUUGUUCAAUGUUGUUCUUACAUUGUUACACUUCUAUGUUACCUGAAAACCAAUUAAAAGAUAAGUGACACCGGCUUAUUUGUGUGGAUGUCAAGUAGCAGUAUUUGAAACGGAGCAGAACUAGAUGUUUAUUCCCUCUCUCUCAGUUCAGUUAGUUUAAUAAACCAGAAUGGUUGCACUUUUUCCAUGUCCACUAUUGCUUGAACCAUAAGCCUGCUGUGACCUUUCUCAUAUCUGGUGUUCUUUUAUAGUAGUGACCUAAUGACUUCAACGUGACAUGUAAGUAAUUGUGUUUUCUUUUAUAGAUAACUUUUGAAAACAGCUCGCCUGUUACAAUUGCUGCUGCUGAAUGCACAUGUGUUGCUGGAAAAGUCCUGUGCAAUCACAAUGUUGGACUUCUUUUUCAAACGGCACAUUACUCAACCCUGAUACUGAAGGCAGUUCCCCCCGUCCUUAGCUGCACAGAAACAGAGCAGAGAUGGCAUAAGCCACGGACUAUGGUAAGCACUUAAUACCAGGUGAUAAUAUUAUUUAUUAUUAAUCCUUUUGUUGUUAUGGUUCUUUGUGUACUUUUAUAGGGUGUGAAACCAGGUAGAGUGAGUGACAUGGUCGUCAUUUCUACAAAGCUUAAACCUAGGCAGUACACAGUUGCUGAUGGUGUAAGGAGUAAGCGCUACAAAGCAGUGCGGGUGGACUUGCCGGACCCAGAUGUCCUGAAAGUUGCUGAGGCUUACCAAGACUUCACAGCAGACAUUGCUCCACUGAUAACCACCAUGGCAAUAACCGAGGAUGUUCCCCUUGUUGAGUCAGCAUUUGGACCUGUCCAGGAAGGUAGCCCCAUCUCUUAUCAGCAUCCAGUACCAAUUAGUCGGGUAAUAGUCUGCCACCCAGACAGCCCAUCUCUGCCAUUAGAAGGCUAUAGGCUGGAUCCCUUCACCUGUAAUUUUGUGUGCACCUAUGAACAGCAUCUCCAGUUAAUGUCACUUGCCAUUACCUUGGAUAUGGCAAGGAAGAUAGAGAUGGCUACAAGGGACCAGAGCAACAGUGUGGAGUGGCACCAAGUCAGGAAGCCAAGGCUCACUUCUUCUCGAUUUAGGGAGGUGUGCCAUGUGAGAGGGGACAGUUCUUCUCAGAACCUAGCAGAGAGAAUAUGGAAAGGUGGGGUUCAGACAGCGCUAAUGAAAAGGGGGCUGGCAUUGGAGCCUGUGGCCAUCCAAGAAUACAGCAGGAAAAAAAAAGUCAACUACCGGCCAUGUGGCUUUGUAAUACACCCAGAUGCUCCUUGGCUAGGAUCCUCUCCAGAUGGUCUUGUAUUUGAUCCAACUGAGAGCCCACCAUUUGGACUGAUAGAAAUCAAAUGCCCUAAUUCCAAAAGCUAUGUGGACUGCAAGUACCUGAAGAUGUAGAGUGGCACAUUAAAAUGAAAGCCCAGCCACAGCUACUACUGGCAAGUCCAGGGGCAGUUAUUACUCACUGGGAUGCAAUGGUGUGAUUUUAUUGUUCUGACUGAGGAGGACAUUCUUGUGCAGCGUAUCUACAGGGAUGCUGCGGUGGCAGGGGUUAUAAGGGAGAAGGGGGAUUAUUUUUUUUUUCACUUUUAUCUUGGUAAAAACACUCUUUCCCCUUUUUCCAUCCACUUUGCUUUUCGAUUUAUAGUGUAAAAUGUUAGUUCUCUCAUAUAUUAGUUGUUCAUACUCUUGGUUUUUGUUCGUUUGUCUAGUAUAUCCUGGGCAACAUCUUGUUUCCCCAGAAUGUUGUCAAUAUUUCAAUGUUAUAUUUGCUUGAUUAAAUCUUGCCUUCUCCAUGUAUAUCUUUGUUGCUUGGAAUUUUUUAUCCUCCAUAUAAUCGACCAAAUCUUUCUCAUCCAUUACUGUUCUAAUCUUUAUGUGCUCGUGGGUGAUACGAGAUGUCAAUGAUUGUGUGUGUUUGUUUAUUUCUCACCUGCAUUAUUUCCUUAUUAAAUUAUAAAUUG